ACUCCAUGAUUUGGACAUUUGCAUAUGACUUCUUUGUAUUGGUCUUAUGCUUCAGUGAAUGAUUCCCCAUCUUGUUGAUGAAAAUCAAGGAUUUUGUUUCUAAACUU
rfam:Helianthus annuus linkage group 16, whole genome shotgun sequence.